UUGCUUUAUAGCCGAAGCUAUACACACUGCAAUCAAUAAGCAUCAUGUCACUGGCAAAACUGCUUGAUCCCAGGUUUAAAAAGAUAGGGUUCUUUAGCCCCAAUAAAGCAGCAGAGGCCGAGAAGAGACUCUCUGCUGAAUGUGCUGCUGUUAUUCAAAACAGCCCGUCUUCCUCGACGUCUUCACAUAUUAGAAGCUUCUCAGCCUUUGACUCAAGGUAGCAAACUAUGGCAUUGUUUGGACACCAGUCCUGCAGACGAGAACCAAAAAUGCCACUGCAAAUGCAACAGUGGAGGUCCAAAUGUACCUGGGUGAACCAAACAUCGGAAGAUUGGAGAACCCCCUAGAGUAUUGGGAAAGACAAAAAAAUGUAUAUCCCCAUGUAUAUUGUAUCAACUUGCUGUUGCUUUUCUCUGUACCCCAGCUUGUAUGCAAAGAACAUGAAUAAAGUUUGACUGUGUUUAACUUUGA